GGAUAUAACCUCCUCUAUAACUCACUGUGUUGUAACCUCCUCUAUAACUCACUGUGUUGUAACCUCUAUAACUGUGUUGUAACCUCUAUAACUCUCUGUGUUGUAACCUCUAUAACUCACUGUGUUUUAACCUCCUCUAUAACUCACUGUGUUGUAACCUCCUCUAUAACUCACUGUGUUGUAACCUCCUCUAUAACUCACUGUGUUGUAACCUCUAUAACUCAUUGUGUUGUAACCUCUAUAACUCUCUGUGUUGUAACCUCUAUAACUCACUGUGUUGUAACCUCCUCUAUAACUCACUGUGUUGUAACCUCCUCUAUAACUCACUGUGUUGUAACCUCUAUAACUCACUGUGUUGUAACCUCCUCUAUAACUCACUGUGUUGUAACCUCUAUAACUCACUGUGUUGUAACCUCCUCUAUAACUCACUGUGAUGUAACCUCCUCUAUAACUCCCUGUGUUGUAACCUCUAUAACUCACUGUGUUGUAACCUCCUCUAUAACUCACUGUGUUGUAACCUCCUCUAUAACUCACUGUGUUGGAACCUCUAUAACUCACUGUGUUGUAACCUCCUCUAUAACUCACUGUGUUGUAACCUCUAUAACUCACUGUGUUGUAACCUCCUCUAUAACUCACUGUGUUGUAACCUCCUCUAUAACUCACUGUGUUGUAACCUCUAUAACUGUGUUGUAACCUCUAUAACUCCCUGUGUUGUAACCUCUAUAACUCACUGUGUUGUAACCUCUAUAACUCACUGUGUUGUAACCUCCUCUAUAACUCACUGUAUUGUAACCUCUAUAACUCGCUGUGUUGUAACCUCCUCUAUAACUCACUGUGUUGUAACCUCUAUAACUCCCUGUGUUGUAACCUCUAUAACUCACUGUGUUGUAACCUCUAUAACUCACUGUGUUGUAACCUCCUCUAUAACUCACUGUGUUGUAACCUCUAUAACUCACUGUGUUGUAACCUCCUCUAUAACUCACUGUGUUGUAACCUCUAUAACUUGCUGUGUUGUAACCUCCUCUAUAACUCACUGUGUUGUAACCUCUAUAACUCCCUGUGUUGUAACCUCUAUAACUCACUGUGUUGUAACCUCUAUAACUCACUGUGUUGUAACCUCCUCUAUAACUCACUGUGUUGUAACCUCUAUAACUCGCUGUGUUGUAACCUCCUCUAUAACUCACUGUGUUGUAACCUCUAUAACUCCCUGUGUUGUAACCUCUAUAACUCACUGUGUUGUAACCUCUAUAACUCACUGUGUUGUAACCUCCUCUAUAACUCACUGUGUUGUAGCCUCUAUAACUCACUGUGUUGUAACCUCUAUAACUCACUGUGUUGUAACCUCCUCUAUAACUCACUGUGUUGUAACCUCCUCUAUAACUCACUGUGUUGUAACCUCUAUAACUCACUGUGUUGUAACCUCCUCUAUAACUCACUGUGUUGUAACCUCCUCUAUAACUCACUGUGUUGUAACCUCCUCUAUAACUCACUGUGUUGUAACCUCUAUAACUCACUGUGUUGUAACCUCCUCUAUAACUCACUGUGUUGUAACCUCCUCUAUAACUCACUGUGUUGUAAACUCCUCUAUAACUCACUGUGUUGUAACCUCCUCUAUAACUCACUGUGUUGUAAACUCCUCUAUAACUCACUGUGUUGUAAACUCCUCUAUAACUCACUGUGUUGUAACCUCCUCUAUAACUCACUGUGUUGUAAACUCCUCUAUAACUCACUGUGUUGUAAACUCCUCUAUAACUCACUGUGUUGUAACCUCCUCUAUAACUCACUGUGUUGUAACCUCUAUAACUCACUGCGUUGUAACCUCCUCUAUAACUCACUGUGUUGUAAACUCCUCUAUAACUCACUGUGUUGUAAACUCCUCUAUAACUCACUGUGUUGUAAACUCCUCUAUAACUCACUGUGUUGUAACCUCCUCUAUAACUCACUGUGUUGUAAUCUCCUCUAUAACUCACUGUGUUGUAACCUCCUCUAUAACCCACUGUGUUUUAAGUGUCUCUGAUUCUGGUAAAGAGGAACGUAGCAGCGUAUGGUUCAACAGAUUGUAAUCUAGAGCCUUUUAAUUGGAGAGGAGAAGGACUCUCGGGCAACAGAUGUGUUGAAUUGUUCUCCUUAAGACCUGUUCUAAAAGGUACCUGAUCUGUCUGAUGAGGCAGACAUAAAUCGGCCAGUGUUUUUAUUGAAAUACAUUUCUCAUCAUAGUCAUUUGUCAGCAACAAGACACAUGUCAAAGCACUCUCACAGCUCUAUAUUGGUUUUCUGUGGUAUAAUUAUCCAUGAUUUACAGACCUCCAAUCCCAGAUGAUUAUGAUGAAGG
ensembl:lncRNA